rnacentral:rRNA from 1 species
UAAUACAGAGACCUCAAGCGUUAUCCGGAAUUAUUGGGCGUAAAGCGUGCCGACAGGUGGUUUUGUUAGCCAGUGGUGAAAUCUCCGAGCUCAACUCGGAAUCUGUCCAUUGGAACUGCAAAACUAGAGGAGCAAAGAGGAAGUUAGAACGAACGGUGUAGUAGUGAAAUGCGUUGAUAUCGUUCGGAAUACCAAUAGCGAAGGCAGACUUCUGGGUGCUACCUGACACUGCUAGGACGAAAGCGUGGGGAGCGAAGGGGAUUAGAUACCCCCGUAGUCCACGCUGUAAACGAUGUACAUUCGCUGCUAGGGAGUAUCGACCCUCUUUAGUAGCUAAGCUAACGCGUUAAAUGUACCGCCUGGGGAGUACGGUCGCAAGACUA